GACGAACGCUGGCGGCGUGCCUAAUACAUGCAAGUAGGACGCAGUUGCGAACGGGUGAGUAACGCGUAGGUAACUAACUAUUAUAGGGGGCUAACUAAUGGAAACGAUACCUAAUAACGCAUACUAGUAGAUGGACCUUCGUGGUAUUAGCUAGGCGGUGGGGUAAUGGCAUACCUAGGCAACGAUACAUAGCCGAACUGAGAGGGGGAUCGGCCAAACUGGUACUGAGACACGGCCCAGACUCCUACGGGAGGCAGCAGUAGGGAAUCUGCGGCAAUGGGGGUAACCCUGACCGAGCAACGCCGCGUGAGUGAAGAAGGUUUUCGGAUCGUAAAGCUCUGUUGUUAAGGAAGCGGUACUUAACCAGAAAGGGACGGCUAACUACGUGCCAGUAGCCGCGGUAAUAC
rnacentral:rRNA from 1 species